AGCAGUAGCCGCGGGAAUACGAGGGGAGCUAGCGUUGUUCGGAAUUACUGGGCGUAAAGCGCGCGUAGGCGGCUUUUUAAGUCAGAGGUGAAAGCCCGGGGCUCAACCCCGGAAUUGCCUUUGAAACUGGAAAGCUAGAAUCUUGGAGAGGUCAGUGGAAUUCCGAGUGUAGAGGUGAAAUUCGUAGAUAUUCGGAAGAACACCAGUGGCGAAGGCGACUGACUGGACAAGUAUUGACGCUGAGGUGCGAAAGCGUGGGGAGCAAACAGGAUUAGAGACCCCCGUAGUCCCUGUCUCUUAUAA
rnacentral:rRNA from 1 species